GCCCGUUUAGCUCAGUGGUAGAGCGCGCCACUCGUAUCGUCUAAAUGAGCAUUGCGAUGGUGAGGUCGGUUGUUCAAUCCAGCCAGUGGGCA